CCUACGGGUGGCAGCAGUGAGGAAUAUUGGUCAAUGGACGAGAGUCUGAACCAGCCAAGUAGCGUGAAGGAUGAAUGCCCUAUGGGUUGUAAACUUCUUUUAUAAAGGAAUAAAACGAGGCACGUGUGCCUUUUUGCAUGUACUUUAUGAAUAAGGAUCGGCUAACUCCGUGCCAGCAGUCGCGGUAAUACGGAGGAUCCGCGCGUUAUCCGGAUGUAUUGGGUUUAAAGGGAGUCUAGAUGGGUUGUUAAGUCAGUUGUGAAAGUUUGCGGCUCAACCGUAAAAGUGCAAUGGAUACGGGCAGUCUUGAGUACAGUUGAGGUAGGCGGAAUUCGUGGUGUAGCGGUGAAAUGCUUAGAUAUCACGAAGAACCCCGAUUGCGAAGGCAGCUUACUAACCUGUGACUGACAUUGAUGCUCGAAAGUGUGGGUAUCAAACAGGAUUAGAUACCCUAGUAGUC
rnacentral:rRNA from 1 species